rnacentral:rRNA from 1 species
GGGAGGCAGCAGUGGGGAAUAUUGGACAAUGGGCGAAAGCCUGAUCCAGCCAUGCCGCGUGUGUGAAGAAGGUCUUCGGAUUGUAAAGCACUUUAAGUUGGGAGGAAGGGCAUUAACCUAAUACGUUAGUGUUUUGACGUUACCGACAGAAUAAGCACCGGCUAACUCUGUGCCAGCAGCCGCGGUAACACAGAGGGUGCAAGCGUUAAUCGGAAUUACUGGGCGUAAAGCGCGCGUAGGUGGUUCGUUAAGUUGGAUGUGAAAUCCCCGGGCUCAACCUGGGAACUGCAUUCAAAACUGUCGAGCUAGAGUAUGGUAGAGGGUGGUGGAAUUUCCUGUGUAGCGGUGAAAUGCGUAGAUAUAGGAAGGAACACCAGUGGCGAAGGCGACCACCUGGACUGAUACUGACACUGAGGUGCGAAAGCGUGGGGAGCAAACAGGAUUAGAUAC